AAUAAUCACAAUUCCCUGUUAUACUGAUAAUGUUCUCACUAACCAUAAUAUGUAGGAACAUUGUUUAUUCUUAGCCAUAGCAUGAAUACAUCUAUCCAGUUCCAUUCUGAUAUUCUUUUUUUCUUUAUAAUUCAUGUGAUAACAAUCUAUAAAUAAACACAAAUAUGCUUUAACUUUUCAAAUUUUCAUUUUGAUUUACUCCUUGCAAUUAAAAUUUUAUUAAAUUCUGCUGCUUUUAUAAAGUAUCUUUUUUUAUCUCUUUCUUUAAGCUCCUGUUGUAAGCAGCCACCUCAAACCUCAUAAAGCUUUGUGCCUUAAAUAUACCAUAUAGUAUACUGUAGAUCUCCCAGUGCAUUAUGAGCUGAUGUCUAGAUAAUCGAUGUCAGUGACAAAAUUUUUCCUAGGUUAAUUUUUGUUUUAAUCCCUUUUUUCUUUCCAUCUAAGAUAAUUUAAAGAAUAAACAGAAAGCUGCCUAUUAUUUUCACUGAUUGAGAUUAUACGUGAGCCCUCUAAGACUGAAACCUCCUUUGAGAGAAAUUGAUUUUGUGGUUGCAGUGGCCAUGAAGGAAAGUGCUCAAAUGAAUUUUGUCAUUGAAUCAACUCCACAUCUUGAGAUCUGUUACUACAACCCUAUCUAUAAGCCUGAAAGGUCACUCUCCAGGGUUUUUUCCUGACUGACUGGACAAGAGGGUUUGGGACACUGUUGCUUGUUCCACAGCCCGUUACUGGAUUAACAGGUCAGUGAGACUCCUUCUGGGUCCCUUGACAUAUGGUGCUUGUUCCCACAGCAGUGCUUUUGUUUGUGGAUGGAUGUCUAAUUCAUUGUUUAAAUGGGAGGGACAAAAAAGAGGAAUGUCUUACUCUGCCAUGAUGCUGACCAACUGAGUAGUUUUUAAGAUAGUUCUAUUGUCUCUAAUCUCUCCUUCAUUGCAAAUAAAAUUGGUUAUUACUGAAUACUAUUUUAUGACCCCAAGAGUGUUCACUGCUAGGAUAUGCUUUUGAGUAUCAAUAGGUUCAUCACAAAAUUGUGCAUACUAGGAAGCAGAGUAAACAGCUGAUAUUUCAGUAAUUCCUUGUAAAUAAUACUUUUCGUGAAUGGCUAGUGGUACAGCACUUUUUGUAACUAUAGGACCAGCCCAGGAGCCACUGCAACACUAGUUCUUUUCAAGAAAAUUAACUGGAAUGAAAGGCAGGCUACAAAAGUUUUUUUUCUGUUGCUUAACAUGGUAAUAGUGAGAUUGGAUCAAGAUGGCAGAUGGAACAGAAGAAUCUACUGUCUCUUUGAAUCCUAAAUUCCAUAAGGUGCUAGAGUAGAACAAGAAAAUCUGCUACGGCACUGAAAAAUGAGAGGGCUAGCAAUGGAAUUGAAAUUUUGAGGAAUGCCAGAAAGAGAGCCCAUGGGAUCAAAUUUAUUGGCAAAUAAAAUGAGAAAAAUCACAACACAAAACAGGUAGGCUACUGCAAAGGGAGGAAUGGUUUGGAACCCAGAAUCAAUAGGUGCAAAAAAGCAGGAGGGUGCCCGUGGAUGCUGGGCAGAGUGAGUCAUUAGGGAGCUGACUGAGAAUAACUAAACAAGUCCCAUCCUCCAAAC
ensembl:lncRNA